rnacentral:lncRNA from 1 species
CUGGACCCACCCACCCAUCGGAAGGCUGGGAGGAACCGGAGGAUACCUACCUAAGAGUCUGGAUGAGUCCUCCUGCCUCCCAUUGCCCCAUAGGUACAAGAAGUUGUCAGCACAGGACUCAACAAUGCUAAGAAGACCGUAGCAAACACAAUACACACCAAGAAAGUCAUCUCUGUGGGAAGAUUUGGAGCAUCCAGAGGGCUUUCAUAGAGGAGGGUGGGCCACUAGGGUCCGGGACACCCAGAGGACCCAGUCUUCCUAGAACAAAGGAACCAAAGCUUUCUGUGUAUGAAGGGAAUUGCAGCACAGCAGGUGUUGGUUGCCUCCGGCAGAUGAGGUGUGAAGGCUUGGGUGACCAGAGAAGGCAGGUGAGCAGGAGCGAGGAGUUUCUGGAGCAGUCCGGCUGGUAAGGACGGAGUAAGGAAAGAGGUUCCCUGACAGACCCGAGUCCCUUCUCACUCCCUCCACGCUCUCAGCCCUAGAGUCACCUCUAUCAUAAAAAUGGCCUCUGCACUGGUGUGUGCAACAGUGCUAUGAACGCUUUGGAGUAACCAGGUAACCAAUCAGAAAGUGAUCUGGGGUCUGCCCCAGAGGAGGAGGGAUUCAUGUCUGGUACUAUAAGCUUGGUCAAAGGCUCUGGUGGUCACCGGCUUGGUGGGAGCCUUGUACUGUUGCUUUGUUGAGUGCUUUGUCAAACAGCCUUCUAAAUAUUUGUUUAUACCCAGUGUACUGGCUGGUUUUGUGUGUCAACUUGACACAAGCUGGAGUUAUCACAGAGAAAAGAACCUCCCUUGAGAAAAUGCCUCCAUGAGAUCCAGUUGUAAGGCAUUUUUUCAAUUAGUGAUCAAGGGGGGAAAGGCCCAGCCCAUUGUGGGUGGUACCAUCCCUGGGCUGGUAGUCCUGGGUUCCUGGUACAAGAAAGCAAGCUGAGCAAGCUAGGGGAAGCAAGCCAGUAAGCAGCAUCCCUCUGUGGCCUCUGCAUCAGCUCCUGCCUCCAAGCUCCUACCACGUGUGAGUUCCUGUCCUGACUUCUUUGGUGAUGAACAUCGAUGUGGAAGUGUAAGCUGAAUAAACCCUUUCCUCCUCAACUUGCUUCUUGGUCA